rnacentral:tRNA from 1 species
GAUCGCUAUCAGGCAUGAUUCCGCCCUUUCACGGCGGCGACACGGGUUCGAAUCCCGUAGGGGACGCCA